UUCCGACUUCAUGGAGUCGAGUUGCAGACUCCAAUCCGGACUACGAAAGACUUUUUAGGAUUAGCACCACCUCGCGGCUUAGCGUCCGUCUGUAUCUCCCAUUGUAGCACGUGUGUAGCCCUACUCGUAAGGGCCAUGAUGACUUGACGUCGUCCUCACCUUCCUCCGGUUUAUCACCGGCAGUCCCCUUAUAGUUCCCGACCGAAUCGCUGGCAAAUAAGGGUAAGGGUUGCGCUCGUUAUCCGACUUAACGGAACAUCUCACGACACGAGCUGACGACAGCCAUGCAGCACCUGUAUCUUGGUUCCAAAAGGCACACUCUCAUUACAAGAGCCUCCAAGUAUGUCAAGAGUAGGUAAGGUUUUUCGCGUUGCAUCGAAUUAAACCACAUGCUCCACCGCUUGUGCGGGUCCCCGUCAAUUCAUUUGAGUUUUAGCCUUGCGGCCGUACUCCCCAGGCGGACAACUUAAAGCGUUAGCUGCGCCACUGAAAGACAUAGUCUCCCAACAGCUAGUUGUCAUCGUUUACGGCGUGGACUACCAGGGUAUCUAAUCCUGUUCGCUACCCACGCUUUCGCACCUCAGUGUCAGUACAGAUCCAGGAGGCCGCCUUCGCCACUGGUAUUCUUCAUAAUAUCUACGCAUUCCACCGCUACACUAUGAAUUCUACCUCCCUCUAUCGUACUCUAGUGAGUUAGUUUUGGAUGCAGUUCCUAGGUUGAGCCCAGGGCUUUCACAUCCAACUUAACAAACCACCUACGCGCGCUUUACGCCCAGUAAUUCCGAUUAACGCUUGCACCUUCCGUAUUACCGCGGCUGCUGGCACGGAAUUAGCCGGUGCUUAUUCUGCAGGUAACAUCAGGGUUAUAAGGUAUUAACUUAUAACUUUUUCUCCCUGCUUAAAGUGCUUUACAACCCGAAGGCCUUCUUCACACACGCGGUAU
rnacentral:rRNA from 1 species